GAUGCCGCCGGAAGGGUUCCGGCCGAGUGUCUGAAGUAGCACAGCAGGAACAGUCGGCCCCAGAGCUCGGGUGUGGAGCGCAGCUGUAUUCGACAAGCGGUACUCACCCUACUUCCCUGGUGGUACAGUGGUUAAGAAUCCGCCUGCCAAUGCAGGGGACAUGGGUUCAAGCCCGGGUCCGGGAAGAUCCCACGUGCCGCAGAGCAACUAAGCCCGUGUGCCACAACUACUGAGGCUGCGUGCCACAACUACUGAAGCCCACGUACCUAGAGCCCAUGCUCCGCAACAAGAGAAGCCACCGCAACGAGAAGCCCGCGCACCGUGAGGAAGAGUAGCCCCCGCUCGCUGCAACUAGAGAAAGCCCAUGUGCAGCAACACAGACCCAAUGCAGCCAAAGAUAAAUAAAUAAAUUUAUUAAAAAAAGAAAAAAA